rnacentral:rRNA from 1 species
UGGGGAAUUUUGGACAAUGGGCGCAAGCCUGAUCCAGCAAUGCCGCGUGAGUGAAGAAGGCCUUCGGGUUGUAAAGCUCUUUUAGUUGAAAAGAAAAAACUCGUGACUAAUAAUCACGAUUCAUGACGGUAUCAACAGAAAAACGCACCGGCUAACUACGUGCCAGCAGCCGCGGUAAUACGUAGGGUGCAAGCGUUAAUCGGAAUUACUGGGCGUAAAGGGUGCGUAGGCGGUUUUGUAAGUCAGAUGUGAAAUCCCCGGGCUUAACCUGGGAAUUGCGUUUGAAACUGCAAGACUAGAGUGCGGCAGAGGGAGGUGGAAUUCCAUGUGUAGCAGUGAAAUGCGUAGAGAUAUGGAAGAACAUCGAUGGCGAAGGCAACCUCCUGGGCUAGCACUGACGCU